rnacentral:pre_miRNA from 1 species
UACAACAUUUGACUCUUCGUCUUAUUUAAAACUUUUCUAUGAUUAAUAAUAAUAAUAUUAUUAUUAGAUAAUAGAACAUGAAAAGGACUUUAUGGGUGACUAAUAUUUUUAAUUUUUUAUAUUUUUUUCAAAUAAGACGGGUGGUAAAUGUUGGACAAAAAAACCCA